AGUGCAUAUGGUGGAUGCCUUGGCGAUUACAGGCGAUGAAGGACGUGAUAGCCUGCGUAAAGUUUCGGGGAGCUGGCAAAUAAGCUUUGAUCCGGAAAUGUCCGAAUGGGGAAACCCACCCGCAAGGGUAACCGCUCCUGAAUAUAUAGGGAGAUGGUGGCAAACCGAGUGAACUGAAACAUCUAAGUAGCUCGAGGAAAAGAAAUCAACCGAGAUUCCGUAAGUAGUGGCGAGCGAACAUGGAAUAGCCUGUUAUUUUUAGCACAUGCGAUAGUAGAACGGAAUGGAAAGUCCGGCCAUAGAGGGUGAUAGCCCCUUAUACGAAAUCCCGUGUGUGGAACUAGGGUAACGACAAGUAGGGCGGGGCACGAGAAACCUUGUCUGAACAUGGGGGGACCAUCCUCCAAGGCUAAAUACUCGUAAUCGACCGAUAGUGAACCAGUACCGUGAGGGAAAGGCGAAAAGAACCCCGGGAGGGGAGUGAAAUAGAUCCUGAAACCGUAUGCAUACAAACAGUGGGAGCGGACUUGUUCCGUGACUGCGUACCUUUUGUAUAAUGGGUCAGCGACUUACAUUCAGUAGCAAGCUUAACCGAUAGGGGAGGCGUAGCGAAAGCGAGUCCGAAUAGGGCGUCUAGUUGCUGGGUGUAGACCCGAAACCAAGUGAUCUAUCCAUGGCCAGGAUGAAGGUGCCGUAACAGGUACUGGAGGUCCGAACCCACAAAUGUUGAAAAAUUUGGGGAUGAGCUGUGGAUAGGGGUGAAAGGCUAAACAAACUUGGAAAUAGCUGGUUCUCUCCGAAAACUAUUUAGGUAGUGCCUCGUAUAUCAUUCUCGGGGGUAGAGCACUGUUAUGGCUAGGGGGUUCAUAAGAACUUACCAAACCAUUGCAAACUCCGAAUACUGAGAAAUGCAAUUACGGGAGACAGACCAUGGGUGCUAACGUCCGUGGUCAAGAGGGAAACAACCCAGACCGACAGCUAAGGUCCCAAAUGACGUGCUAAGUGGAAAACGAAGUGGGAAGGCAUAGACAGCCAGGAUGUUGGCUUAGAAGCAGCCAUCAUUUAAAGAAAGCGUAAUAGCUCACUGGUCGAGUCGUCCUGCGCGGAAGAUGUAACGGGGCUAAGCACGUAACCGAAGCUUCGGAUGCUGCAUUCUUCGGAAUGUAUGCAUGGUAGGAGAGCGUUCUGUAGGCCUGCGAAGGUGUUCUGUGAGGAAUGCUGGAGGUAUCAGAAGUGCGAAUGCUGACAUGAGUAGCGAUAAAGGGAGUGAAAAGCUCCCUCGCCGAAAACCCAAGGUUUCCUGCGCAACGUUCAUCGGCGCAGGGUGAGUCGGCCCCUAAGGUGAGGCAGAGAUGCGUAGCUGAUGGGAAACAGGUUAAUAUUCCUGUACCUGUAUACAAUGCGAUGUGGGGACGGAGAAGGUUAGGUCAGCCGGGUGUUGGAUGUCCCGGUUCAAGCGUGUAGGCAGAUUCUUUAGGCAAAUCCGGAGAGUCAAUGCUGAGGCGUGAUAACGAGCGUACUUGUACGUGAAGUGAUUGAUACCAUGCUUCCAAGAAAAGCCACUAAGCUUCAGUUGUAUAGAGACCGUACCGCAAACCGACACAGGUGGGUAGGAUGAGAAUUCUAAGGCGCUUGAGAGAACCCGGGAGAAGGAACUCGGCAAAUUAGCACCGUAACUUCGGGAGAAGGUGCGCCCCGGUAGGUUGUAGAGAUUUACUCUCGAAGGCCGAUGGGGUUGCAGUGAAAAGGUGGCUGCGACUGUUUAAUAAAAACACAGCACUCUGCAAACACGAAAGUGGACGUAUAGGGUGUGACGCCUGCCCGGUGCUGGAAGAUUAAAUGAUGGGGUGCAAGCUCUUGAUUGAAGUCCCAGUAAACGGCGGCCGUAACUAUAACGGUCCUAAGGUAGCGAAAUUCCUUGUCGGGUAAGUUCCGACCCGCACGAAUGGCGUAACGAUGGCCACACUGUCUCCUCUCGGGACUCAGCGAAGUUGAAAUGUUUGUGAAGAUGCAAUCUACCCGCGGCUAGACGGAAAGACCCCAUGAACCUUUACUGUAGCUUUACAUUGGACUUUGACAAGAUUUGUGUAGGAUAGGUGGGAGACUAUGAAGCGGUGUCGCUAGAUAUCGUGGAGUCAACCUUGAAAUA
rnacentral:rRNA from 1 species